GCGGAUUUUGGUAUUCAUACAAACCCAAAUGAAAUAGAGAAUAAUAUUAAAUCUGA
rnacentral:sRNA from 1 species